GUCUAUGGCCAUGCUCCCUUGACCAAGCCCGAUCCCAUCUGAUCUCAGAAGCUAAGCAGGGUUGGGCCUUGUUAGUACUUGGAUAGGAGACCACCUAGGAAGACCAGGUGCUGUAGGCG
rnacentral:rRNA from 1 species